UACAUGGGGUGCAAACGUUGCUCGGAAUUAUUGGGCGUAAAGCGCGCGUAGGCGGUUACUUAAGUCGGAUGUGAAAGCCCUCGGCUUAACUGAGGAAGUGCACCCGAAACUGAGUAGCUGGAGUACGAAAGAGGGUCGCGGAAUUCCCGGUGUAGAGGUGAAAUUCGUAGAUAUCGGGAGGAACACCGAUGGCGAAGGCAGCUUUCUGGCCCUUAACUGACGCUGAGGUGCGAAAGCGUGGGGAGCGAACGGG
rnacentral:rRNA from 1 species